rnacentral:lncRNA from 1 species
AACCAUGGAUCCAAAGAAACAAAUCAAUAAGUCAAAUCAAGAUGUGCAUGUGUGGCGAAUGAAUGGUGUAUGGUGAUGAUGGUGGUAACAAUGGUGAAAGUCUAAUUCUACUUUUGCUCUUUUGAGGGGAUACAUACCUUCCUUGCUCUUUGAAACUUUGUGAGGAGAAUGAGAUUCUCUUCUUUUUUUCUCUCAGGUGGGUAUCUUGUACCCCUAAUUCUACUGUCGGACACUUGUCCAUUUUUACCUCUCAUCUCACUUUUUCUUUUCUGUCGAGGUUCCGGGCUCUUGCCCCUUUUUAUUUCCUCGUAUCUUUUUCCUUUCUUUUUUUAGAGCACUCAUCUCUUGAGAUAAUAUAGCAAGUGGUAGUAACAAGAUAACUUGAGCAUUUAUUUCACAGGGGAAAAACAAAGAUGUUUUUGGCUAUUCUCUCCCGGAUUAGGAGUAGAAUAUUUUUUGGUGGUUCUGGAGAUGGAAAUGGAUGGAUAUAUGUGGAUGGUACUUCUAGAGUAGAAGUAGCAUGUGUGAGUGAACGUGUAAGUGAAUCUUGAUUUAACCACAUGACAAGCUCCUAAGGGUCUACACAGCUUGACCACACUCAAUGCUCAUAAGCAGUAAAUAGUAAAUGUGUGGCUCAAAGUCUAGCAAGCAUGUAUAUAUGGCUGUGGUAGGAAUUUAAACUCUCAUCAUACAGGAACUCAUUAUGCAACAUUUUAAAUAUUUUCAAAGAUAAAAUUCUCCAGAAUUCUAGUAUCUCUAGAAACAGAUAAACAGCAGCUCAACCUUCCCAUAUCAUAUCCGUUAACAACUUAGAUGUUGCAUAUCGUCGUGCUCCUCCCCCUCAACCACAGACCCACAAGAUAAAGUUGGUGGGUUUAUAUUUUAAUAUAGUAUAAGUAUAAAUAUAGAUAGAAAGAUAGAAAUACUUAGCGAGAUAAAUGGGGGUGCUCUCCCCCAAGCUAAAUUUUGACGUAAUUUCUCUUGAUGUAGCUAGCAGGCGGCAGAGGUGUAUUUGAAAGUCAGCAGCAUUCUGACAGAGAUUAGAAUGUCCUCCGUCUGCUAGUCUUCUUGAUUCUUAAAUUCAGUGGAGCUCAAAUAGACAACAAAGCUUGUGGAACUAAUUAAGUGUUAGCAUAAAUAUCUAGCCUUCAUCCCGUUGAGCUUCCUCAAUAAAUAUUACUCCCUGUUUUUAUAUUUUUAUUUUAUAAAGCAGAAAAUAAAUAUUUAUUUUAUUUUUAUGCCACCACAGUGAAGGUACUUAUGGGUUUUAUGCCACUCGUAUACUCACAUGGGGCUUAGUAUUUUUUAACAUUUUUAUUUUCUUUUCAAGAUAGCAUGAUUAACUAAUAAUCUAAUUAAGGAAAGUAAAUAAUUAAAGGGAAAAGAGAAUGCAGAAGGGUUCAAUGUUUUAAGUCUUCUUGACAAGACUUCUCACCGUGUUCAUUCUUCAGGUGCGUCAUUUGAUUCAGGUGCGGACCUUGACGUCUGCACCUCUUCGUUUGCCCAGCAGUUUGAAGUGCGGCGUUGGCAGUAUCCUGCUCAGUGUGUUUGUGCUCGUAGAUCCAGGUCCUUCACUUGGUAGAGUCUGAGAGUUAUAAAACUCCUCCGUGUUUUGCUCAAAGUGUACCUGCUCAUAGAGACAAGGCAGAGAUCAAGUGCAUGGGUCCUGUUGGUGGAAAACACCAACAGAACCUAAAGUGUAUUUGUUCUUCUCUAACCCUAAGCAUAGUGAGCAAGACAAAGUUGAUGGAUGAAAAGUUCAAUAGUGUAGCACUUAUAACAUUUGUCAGAUCAGAUCGCUCAACGUUAUGGAAAGAUAAUCUAUCUAUGUAUAUGUCUUUUUCUUUAUAUCUCUCAAUGAUGGAAUGUGUAACAUUUUAGCUCAUAUGAUUAGGAGUGUGGGAUCAUGGAGGUAGUACUAAGAACAAGGAUUAAAGGACUAAACAUGCUGAAUCAGUUGGGUUGGUUAAUCUAGAGUCAUACAUGUUUGUCUCUUUUAUUUAUAUGAACGCCAGAACCAAGGAGAAGCUUAUAAAAGUGAUAGUCAAGUACCUUAAGAUGUUACCUUGCUUGAAGAGUGAUGGUACAGUAUCACCUUAUGGAAGCUUUCCUUCCUUAGCGGUUGUGCAUCGUGUUUGUGGCACCCUCCAUGGAUCAUCUCUCUAUGAUGAAUGAGCUAUGUCCUUCUUGUGCAAAUUGUUAAACUUCAUGUGUCACUCUCUUCGUCUCUGAUGUGAGUUUAUCUCAGGACUUCCCAAAUUAAUAUUGAAAGUUUUUCUGCAGGGGUUAGUCCGACAAAAAUAUACCAAUGUCUACACAAGCAGUUUUUAGUUCAAUAACCAAACUAGACUCCAUGUCUAAUUAGAUUAAGGAAGGCUGUUUAACCUAAGCACCAUGCUUAAUUUAAAAGCCAAUAGAAGUAUGUGCAGUACUUCCAAACUAACACUUACUAGUAAAUAGACAAAGGUAUCAUGACAGCAUUUAUAGAGAUCUACUCAAGUGGAGAUGAAGUAGUGUGAUUAGUAUUUAACAAAUUGAGCAUGUCUUAAAGGUAGGGACAACCAACAUAGCAACAUGGCAAAGGAUGUUUUUAUGUAAAGUACUCCCCCAAGCUUGAAGUUUGCAGAAUUUAAGUUUGGAUGAAUUUAACUCAGUGUUGCAUGAUGAUUGGUUGGACAUACCUUGUACUUGCUUGUCAUUCAUCUGAUCUGCUUGUUCCAAUCCUGGAAAGGUUAGUGACAAGAAUACCCGAAGGAAUAUUUUUACAAUUAUCCUUAUAUGCUCAAUACACAAGGUAAUGUUGCAAAUAAUUAAAAACUCAUGUUACGAUCUGAUCAGUGCUUAUUUUAGGACACCAAGCUUGUCCUUGGGAAACCAUCAAUUUAUGUCGGCGAAGUGGUUUCCCUUCCAACGCUGACCUAAAUCAAAAUCAACUCAACGAGAUCUGCAAUAUUUAUUAUAGACAUAUGCAUCGACAACCACCCUUUUAAAGUUUUUAUAAAUAGAAAGGAAGAGGGGGUUGGAGAUCUCAAAUGUGGUGAUGUUGGAGAGACCAAUAGUUUGGGAAGAUGUUGCAUAUGAGCAUGGAGUAAACAAAGUGGCUAUGAAAUAAAUUCCAUGCUCAUUAAUGUUAUCUUCGUCUCCAAUCUGAAUGUUCAGAGUUUCUCUUGGAUUGGUCUCACCUAUGUCCUCUUCUGUAGUUGGAUGAAUCUCAUCUUCAAAGGGAGUCAAGAACUCAUCAUUUGAAAUUGAGCCAAAGUCAGAAUCUUCCUUAUUCAUCCAUUCUACACAUUGUAGCCAUUUAGAACUUGUGAUCAGGAAAGGGGAGGUAUUAGAAUUUUCAAUAUGGCUUAGCUCCCCUUCACUUGAUAUGUUAUCCUCGACUUCUUCAUAACAGGAACCAGGACAUUCUCUAAGAGAACCAUUAUUGCGAGGAUUUGAAUUAUCCCUGCUUGAAGGUCUCUUAUGGAACCAGAAGUCUAAACCAUCAGCAUCUGAAAGAUUUAAGGUCAGAAUUCCUUCCUCCCUUGGAGAAUUUUGGGGUAUUGAUGGUUUAGGAUCGAUAGCUAAAGUUUGGAAUUGAAGUGUUUGUGAUCUGGCUAUCGAAACUUCUUCUUGUCUAGGAACUGGUUCUGUCUCUUUCUCAGGGAUAUAAAAGCUAGGAGACUUCCCACUUAAUAAAUCAAUCAAAUUCCAAGCUUCACUAGAGGCUGUAUUCAAGGUUUGCUUAUUUUUCCCACUAAGGCCCUCAAAAAAGUGAAUUAGAAGAACUUCUUCUGGAAUAGAAAGCUUUGGGCCAGUGAGAGUAAGGUUAAUAAAGCGGUCCCAUGAUUUCCUAAGAGAUUCUUCUUCCCGUUGUCUAAAAGAAAUAAUCUCACGCCGAAGUUCUGCCACUUUGGAGAUUGGAAAAUAUUUAGAAAGAAAACUACUAUAUAACUCCUUCCAAUCUCCAUAAACACUCCCUACUUUGAGUAUGUACCAAUGUCUAGCUUUUCCCGUUAAGGAGAACGGAAAGAGCUUCCAUUUAAGGGUCUCAUCGGACAUUCCUUCUAUGUGAAGGAGGUCACAGACUCGAUAAAAUUCUCUUAGGUGUGUGUAUGGGUUUUCCUCACCUUCUCCUGAGAAAGGUUGUCUUUGAACAAAUUCUAUGUAUUCGGGGUCUAUCUCAAAACUAGAUGCUAUGAUAGGCUUUGAAAAUUUUGGUGGUUCGAGAUGUGUGCCCGUAGGUCUAUGAAAUUCAUAGAUAGACAUGUUUGAAUUCAUGAUAGACCAGAGAUCAAGGAUUAGAUAAGAAGAAAGAUUAGCAGAGAUGAGGUAAAGGAUAAAAGGAAAAUAUUUUUUUUAUUUUUUUAGUAAAUGAUUAAGCUAGUUCGUAGUCAACUCAGCAACCGUUUCCCCAGCAACGGCACCAAAAAUACUUGUUGACACUUGCUAACACCACUUGAAUACUAGGUUGUCAUCCCCAGCAUGGCACUAGAGUGUACUAUGGUAUUUAUACGCACACAGAUAAUCCGCAAGCGCACGGAUACCGUUGAAGCUUUUUACCCGGUUAAAGGUUUUAUCGUAUCCACAGGGAAAUGGGAGAAUUGAUCUACGCUCUAACUUAACCAGGAUAAGUAAAUAAGUGUAAAUAGGAAGAUGGUAGAAUCGAAUAAGAACAAUAUUAAAGGUAAGAUAAUAGUGAGUGAUAAUAUGGGAAUAGAGAAUAGAACAAUUCUAGUAUAUGGGCGAUGGCAGCAUAAUAGAGAGAAUAAUUAUGGUUUCUCUACUACAAAGGGGUAUGUCUAUGUCUGGGACGAACCACGUGAUAAGAGUACACCACAAAGGAUGCUUAUCCAUAGGCCGAUAAACCCUACCAGUCCUGCUAACAGUAGGUGAACUACAGGGGACCAACGUAACUGUCACCUACGUGGCCUACCACACGAUCCUGCUAGACAGGGGAUAUCCACAAGUAAUCUAGGUCUAAGCACCAUGCUUACACCUAUACUACAACUCUCACCUAUAGCGUCCUAUAGAUUAAAGUACUCAAAGAGUUGUGAACCAGAACAUACAUGGAUAGUAAUUGCAUAAUGAAAUAGAAGUAGAUUACCAGAGUCAUCCCAUGAGCAAGCUUGAUUAGAGCUUGAUCAUGGCGAAGUACAACCAGAGGAAGAACCGACAGGCCGGCCUCUCCACCAAUCCUCCCUCGCUCUCCAUCUCGCUACUAUCUUGAUCUACUCUAGUUUAGAGAUGAGAGGAGAGCUCUCAUCUCCAAACCCUAGCUUUUGCUCUGUCUAUGAAUAAUGAAUAGGGAUCAAGGGGUGUCUCCUCCAGGGGCCAGGGGGCCUGCUUAUAUAGUCCCCUCAAGUGAAUAUGGGCCGUCGGAUCAAACCGACAUUAAUCGCACGGUUUUCCUUGAUCCUUUAGGUCGGUGGAGCAUGAUCCGUGAAGUAGAACGUGAUUGGCUGAAGCACCAGGGCGGGCGCCCAAGGGGGGAGGGCGGGCACCCUGUCCCCGAGCCUGCUCGGCUUCCCGUUCAUUCUCGUGGCUUCUGGAGUCUUCUAGAUGAUAGAAAAUUGCGCGGCACAUUAAUAUCUCUAUGUCAACCUGACAUGUGGCCUUUCCUCCAUAUUUCCUGGUAACCCCCUGCAGAAAUAGACAAACACCAAAACUCAUGGAAUUCUGUCAGAUAAAACCCUAAGUCUGGGUGUUAGUUGCAUUUGGAUCCUUUUCUUUAUUUAUUUGAUGAGUAAAUUUGAUACUUAAGGACCGUCAACAACUCCCCCAAGCUUACCUCUUGCUCGUCCCUGAGCAAGGAUGGACUCAAGAGUUACUGCAGUGGUUUCAUGCCUUAAAGGUACACAUGCGUUCAAACAAGAUCUCAUCUCUAGGUUAGGGUAAACUGUUGAGACUUAAAACAUACUCAUUUUACCUUUCACCACGGGGCUUGCAACCGUCACUUAUGUCUUGAGCAGUUAAAAGAUAGAAUGGUCAAGUCAAGCACCAUGUCUCUUAUUCUUUGAUCAACUAUAGCACUAGAGUUUUUGUAGAUUUUCAAAAUAAAACUCGAAGAUUCCUUUUACGACUCUCUCAAUUCUCUCUUUUGUGGUAUUUCUGGAUCCUUACCAAGGUAGUGAUGGUAUAUGCCUUCUCUUAAAGUAUGUGGUAUUUGUGGUAUGAGGCAUAGUGACAUACUUACAAGACAUUUUUUGCAUAGUCAAACCAUGGAUCCAGAGAAUCAAGUCAAUAAGUCAAAUCAAGAUGUGCAUGUGUGGCGAAUGAAUGGUGUAUGGUGAUGAUAGUGAUAAUGGUGAAAGCAAUGGUGAAACUCUAAUUCUACUUUUGCUCUUUUGAGGGGAUACAUACCUUUCUUACACUUUGAAGCUUUUUGAGGGGAAUGAGAUGCUCUAUAUUUUCUUUUUCUUUUCUCUCAGGUGGGUAUCUUGUACCCAUAAUUCUACUGUCGGACACUUGUCCAUUUUUACCUCUCGUCUCAUUUUUUUUCUUCGAUGUUCCGGGCACUUGCCCCUUUUUAUUUCCACGUAUUUUUCCUUUUUUCAGAGCACUCACCCUCCUGGAAUAAUGUAGCAAGUGGUAGUAACCAAAAUAUCUCGAGCAUUUAUUUCACAGGGAAUAACAGGGAUAGGAUAAUGUUUUUGGCUAUUCUCUCCUGGAUAGGAGUAGAAUAAUUUUGGGUGAAUCUGGAGAUGGAAAUGAGUGGAUGUAUGUGGAUGCGUACUUCCGGAGUAGAAGCAGCAUGUAUGAGUGAACGUGCAAAUGAACCUUGAUUUUAACCGCAUGACAAGCUCCUAAGGGUCUACAUAGCUUGACCACACUCAAUGCUCAUAAGGAGUAAAAAGUAAAUGUAUGGUUCAUAGUCUAAUAAGCAUGUAUAUAUGGCUGUGGUAGGAUUUUAAACUCUCAUCAUACAGGAACUCAUCAUGCAGUAU